CAUGAGCCGAUUGAAAAAAGUAGCAAGUUAUGCGUGACUGAUCGGGAUAGUCGCCAGUGUGUCGGGAUUUAAUCGGGAAUGCAUCGGCAAGCAUCAUGAGCAAUCGGCUUAACCGUAGGUGAAGCGUGAACGAGUCGUACCAUUACUGAGAAGCAGA